UUCUCUAUAUAGGUGUGGCCAGCCUCUACCUCUUUCUCGCUCUGACUCCAGGGUUGAGUUAAGGCUUUCUCUAUAUAGGUGUGGCCAGCCUCUACCUCUUUCUCGCUCUGACUCCAGGGUUGAGUUAAGGCUUUCUCUAUAUAGGUGUGGCCAGCCUCUACCUCUUUCUCGCUCUGACUCCAGGGUUGAGUUAAGGCUUUCUCUAUAUAGGUGUGGCCAGCCUCUACCUCUUUCUCGCUCUGACUCCAGGGUUGAGUUAAGGCUUUCUCUAUAUAGGUGUGGCCAGCCUCUACCUCUUUCUCGCUCUGACUCCAGGGUUGAGUUAAGGCUUUCUCUAUAUAGGUGUGGCCAGCCUCUACC